CAACCACGUGGAAUUAGUCAUUCUUUACAGUUAUUCACUGGAGGCAGUGUCACAGAGCACAGACUGUCACCCCACGUUCACUGUACUCACACCUCAUAGAUGGUCACCAUAUCCACACUCUGAGAAAGGAUUUGAGAAGGCCAUGAAAACAUCCAUGAAACCCAGAUGCAUCAUAAACCAGGUGCUGACACUCAGGAACGGAGGGAUGAAGUGACACCGUGAGAGUACAGGUGUGAUCAAACGCACACCUUCUCUCAACUAUAGCUUACAACGGACUGAGUGCACCAAACAAGUUGAAAUUUGGCACACACUGCUAUAAGGGCCAACAUGCCGCUUUCCAUACCCUGCCUUUCUGCUGGGUGGCAUGUGUCAGCCGCAUUUACCGUACGUUUUGAUCACACUUCAUGUGGCAAUGGGAGACUGAAGCUACUAACAGAGACUGCAUUCAAUUUUAUCGUGAUUCAUCUCUAGAAUAAUGGCCUCCGCAAAGCAAAAGCAGCUGUCUGAGCAAUGCACUUCCAUGGUAUUGGCUGCUCAGACACCUGAAUUUACCAAAGCUCAGUAAGUUUCCUAAAAGGGCAUCAUGAACUACACUGAGGCUUAUGGGGCAGGUGUCCACGCCUGUGUCUUCCAUAUAGAAUAGUUCAUUUCUUUUGCUUCUAGCUAAAAAAGAAGCCCAGUAAGGAAAGGUUUUUAAGCUAUAUAUUUAAGCUAAACACACAUUGCUU